CCUACGGGAGGCAGCAGUGAGGAAUAUUGGUCAAUGGGCUUACGCCUGAACCAGCCAAGUCGCGUGAGGGAAGACUGCCCUAUGGGUUGUAAACCUCUUUUGUCAGGGAGCAACGCCGGCUACGUGUAGCCGGACUGAGAGUACCUGAAGAAAAAGCAUCGGCUAACUCCGUGCCAGCAGCCGCGGUAAUACGGAGGAUGCGAGCGUCAUCCGGAUUUAUUGGGUUUAAAGGGUGCGUAGGCGGAAUGCCAAGUCAGCGGUAAAAUCGCGGGGCUCAACCUCGCUCCGCCGUUGAAACUGGCGGUCUUGAGUGGGCGAGAAGUAUGCGGAAUGCGUGGUGUAGCGGUGAAAUGCAUAGAUAUCACGCAGAACUCCGAUUGCGAAGGCAGCAUACCGGCGCCCAACUGACGCUGAAGCACGAAAGCGUGGGUAUCGAACAGGAUUAGAUACCCUAGUAGUC
rnacentral:rRNA from 1 species